GGAAGCGUGUCCGAGCGGCCGAAGGAGACGGUCUUGAAAACCGUUGUGCGGUAACCCCGUACCGUGGGUUCAAAUCCCACCGCCACCGCCA
rnacentral:tRNA from 1 species